CUGGAAGUAGGAAAAAAAAAGGAAAAAAGAAAAGGAAAAGGAGGAUAAAACCUGCAGCAGCCUGGGUUUUUCAGUUUUGUUU
rnacentral:ribozyme from 14 species